AUUGAACGCUGGCGGCAUGCCUUACACAUGCAAGUCGAACGGUAACAGGUCUUCGGAUGCUGACGAGUGGCGAACGGGGGAGUAAUACAUCGGGACGUGCCCGAUCGCGGGGGAUAACGAAGCGAAAGCUUUGCUAAUACCGCAUACGAUCUAAGGAUGAAAGCAGGGGACCGCAAGGCCUUGCGCGAACGGAGCGGCCGAUGGCAGAUUAGGUAGUUGGUGGGAUAAAAGCUUACCAAGCCGACGAUCUGUAGCUGGUCUGAGAGGACGACCAGCCACACUGGGACUGAGACACGGCCCAGACUCCUACGGGGGGCAGCAGUGGGGAAUUUUGGACAAUGGGCGAAAGCCUGAUCCAGCCAUGCCGCGUGCAGGAUGAAGGCCUUCGGGUUGUAAACUGCUUUUGUACGGAACGAAAAGACUCUGGUUAAUACCUGGGGUCCAUGACGGUACCGUAAGAAUAAGCACCGGCUAACUACGUGCCAGCCGCCGCUGUAAGAC
rnacentral:rRNA from 1 species